UACGGAGGAGGCAAGCGUUGUUCGGAAUCAUUGGGCUUAAAGCGCGCGUAGGCGGAUUAUUAAGUCAGUGGUGAAAGCCGGGGGCUCAACUGCCGAACUGCCAUUGAGACUGAUAAGCUUGAGUAUAGUCGAGGUAAGCGGAAGUUAGGGUGUAGAGGUGAAAUGCAUAGAUAUCAGGAAGAACACCGAUAGUGAAGGCAGUUUGCCGGGCUAAUACUGACGCUGAGGUACGAAAGCGUGGGGAGCAAACAGG
rnacentral:rRNA from 1 species